rnacentral:lncRNA from 1 species
UCCUUGCUUUCUUCUGGAAACCAUCUUUCACAGGUUGAAGUCAAUGGGAUGCCAGAAACUGUUACCUAGGUGGCCUUGGAUCCUGUUUGUGACCAAGCUUGCCACAGCAGACGCAGUCCCAAUGACACUGACCUGCAGUGUGGAACUGGCUUAUAUCAGCAUGUUAUUACUAAUUAUUGAGACGAGUUUGAGUUCUACAUGCUACAAAAAGAUGUCACUCCCCAAACUGACGGCUAUUUAGGCUCAUCAACUCUGCGGACAUGAAUCCCAGGACAAAUUUGUUGUUUUUUUAAAAAAUUUCUUCAGUUCAGUUGCUCAGUCAUGUCCGACUCUUUGCUACCCCAUGAACUGCAGCACGCCAGG